ACUGCUGUGUGUGGGCGGGAUACGCGUGACUGAGCGAGUGCGACGAUAAGACAAACAAAGUCAACAGUCAGCAUGCAUCCACACAGGGUGCUUUUGUUUUGUCAGUCUAACCAACACAGUCCAACACACCCAUCUAGCUGACUUAUUGAAAAUACACACACACCGAGCAGUUUGAUUUGUGUACAUUGAGACAGAGGUGGCAGAACUACUCACUACUCAUAGCACUCGUGGCUUCGCUCAUAUUGUAGACAACACACUUUGAAUUCGAAUGCAGCUAAUGCAUCUCACUUCUGUGUUUUUCAGAUGGGAUAGAGAACUGCUUCAUGACGACGACUGAGCACAUCCACCACAAAUCAUUUUCUUGAAGACGGACAACAAGAGGGAAAUGAGAGCAACAGGACAACAAUGGCGGCUGGCGAGUCGUCAAGCAGCAGCUCUGGGCCUCCUCGAUAUAUUUGUGUUGGGCGGGAGGGCAGCUGACCCGACCGGCUGGAUGAUGAUUUAAUUCCACACAAUGGUAGAGCAUCACGUUGUUGUUCAGUGUGGGGAAAAAAAGCAAAGCAGCAUUGCCCAACAAUCUGCCGGCUCGGCAACGAUUCAGGGAUGCUCCUCCAACCGCUCCUGGCAGUUGCAGUCUCCUUGAAGUGACUGCUUAACCCUUGUUCUCGCCAUCGCCGCUUCACAAAGCCUUCUCCAUUUGCAGCACUCAUCGAUGGGCGACGAAGGGCCCUAAGCGGCGAGUCUGUUCCAGGUGUCCAAUAACAGGUCUCGCUUUCAUUGCUGUCCUGGAGUUGACGAGGUUCCCGAGGCAAACAUAAUACCGCUUGGACGGCAGGUCGUGUCGAGGGCGGGAGAGAGGACGGGACUCAACAGAAAGCGUUAGGCAGCAUCUUGUGGCAGCAGUUCACAUGAGGAUACAAACAGCAAACUUAGCGUAGCCUAGCAGCAUUCGAUUUGGUUCCGUCCGGCCCAAAAUAAAGACCUGCACAUGCUUGGCAUGUAUCGGGCA